UUUCACAAGGUACUGUGGAGGUUGCCUAUGGGUGUCACAUUGCCUAUUACCAUGAAAAUAAUCACCCUUUUUCUAUGUGCUCUUGCACAUCAAGUCGCAAGCGAAACUAAUGAUAUUUUUCCUGCGAAGAUCCUGACCCAACAGAAAUCUUUAAGCGAGAAUAGUGACCUCUACGUUAUCUGCAGCACAUUUGGGUUGAAGAAACAGACCGAGGUGUAUGUUUAUUUAUGUAGGAAUGAUGUUGGAAUGAUUAAACAUAUCCAGAAGAAAGAACAUAAUGAUACCACCUUCAUCAUAAACAGAGUCAGUCUUAAUCACAGUGGAAAUUACAGCUGUGUUUACUCAACACGUGGUUAUUCGCCUCCCGAAGUAACCAAGAAAGCAUGCAACCCCAUAGAGAUUCUGGUUAUAGCCAAUUUUCUCCCUGCAGAUAUUUCAGUAGCCGGGCCGUUGGCUGUCAGUGAGGGAGACGAUGUUGAAUUCAGCUGUACUGUGUCUGAAACCCUGCAAACACUGGGUGGAUGUCAAUUGAUCCAUUCUUACCUUAAGAGGAAUGAGCUCAUCCUCCAAGUGCAAACAUUUAAUGUCACACAGAUGGAGGCGACUUUCACCAUCCAAGACGCAGUCACGAGGGACUCGGGUAAUUACAGCUGUGUGGUGCUGCCAUCUAAAUGCAUCCAAAAGCAUGAGAAAACACUCUAUGGAAAUAACGCAGUAUCACUCGAGGUCAAAGAGAGUUUGUUUCUCCGAGUGAUUGUCUCUUGUGGAGUGAUAAGCAUGAUGAUAACACUGGGUCUGUGCCUGUGGUGCAUCAACAAACCAGGCGGCUUAGCUUUGUGUAAUCAACGUGCACCAAGUGAGCAGGCAAAUAUAGACAUGCUGGAGGAACAGCAGGAGCAGACAGAAGAGGGUCUGGAAGCACAAGAUGGAGAUUCUUUCAGCACCGAGGAAGAAGAAGGUUUACUUUUACAGUUCAUCUUGAGAAAGAAAAGAUAAGUACAAUGGAUUUAAAUAAAAUCUUUCCAAAUACAUAAACCAUAAACUUACUUUUCACAAAAGACUUGCUGCAACAUCGUUAAUGGUGCACAAUUCUUAACAACAACACUAUAUUAUUAUUAUUAUUAUUAUUAUUAUUAUUAUUAUUAUUAUUAUUCAUUGGCUACAUUUUCUCAGGUAUCAGAAUGUUGUGAAUGCUGAGGACAGCACUUACUCUGAUGGUUUGGAGGGAGUGUACAGUGUUGCAGAUGACAGUGAGAAUGACUACGAUGACAGUGAUCACAUGUGUGCCAACUAAUACAUUUUGAUUGAUAAAGGUACUGUAAAAUGUUUAGUUAUCAUUAUAAUGAAGGGGCAGAGUCACUCAUUUGUUUUUAUUGUUUGGAUGCUUUGUUUCUCUUUGCAUACAAAGCUCAAUAACAAGACAACAUGGGCAGAAAGAUUAUAAAAAGAAUAAAACAUGUCAUAAAGUCAACUGGUUAGAAGGCAUUACAUAGUAUGAUGCUGCCUGGUUCAGCAGAGCAGGUUUGUCUAUCAGUUAGUUCAGUGCAUGUUACAGGAAAACCUCAUCUUAAUUUGUUACAAUAGGACAGACCUGAAUAGCAUUUUGUGGUUAGCUUUCUGACUCACAAGGGCCAAUUCUCUCAUGACAAAUUAAAAUAAUAACCAAGAAAAAAUGCACGCCAUCUAACUUUGAACUUCUCAACCACAGAUGAUUCACCUGCAAGAUCAAGUUCAACACAUGUGUAUGCCAGGUCCUCCAAAUAUAAAUGUUAAUUUAUAAUAUGUUAAUCGGAUUUUAUUGUCGGAUACAUGAAUAACUGUAACGCACCCCUGCUUUGUUCUGUCUGUGUCACAUUUCAUUAAGGUAAGGUAAUGUUAAAAUGUAUAGUGAAUGAAGAAGGAACAUUUGAACUCCAUUAUUAGCCUGAUCAGUAGUAUAUGUGGAGGAGGAACUGCUCCUUGUGGUCAAGGGUAAAAGAAUGUCCUCAUACAUUAAAUUUUUACAUGGAUCCUUUCUUUGUUGCAGAAGGUUUCAAUUUAUUUUUGCCUAAUAAAUGAAAUUAGUGUGUUCCUGCCCCUUUGUGCAAUCAGUGCUUUAAAGAAUGUACUACAGUUUGUUUUCAAUAACAAACACUGCAAGUGUUGUUGUAGUGAUUGACUGUACUUUGUAAUAAACAGUAUAGAAAACAAA